rnacentral:rRNA from 1 species
UACGAAGGGGGGCUAGCGUUGCUCGGAAUCACUGGGCGUAAAGCGCACGUAGGCGGCUUUUUAAGUCAGGGGGUGAAAUCCUGGAGCUCAACUCCAGAACUGCCUUUGAUACUGGCGACCUUGAGUCCGGGAGAGGUGAGUGGAACUGCGAGUGUAGAGGUGAAAUUCGUAGAUAUUCGCAAGAACACCAGUGGCGAAGGCGGCUCACUGGCCCGGUACUGACGCUGAGGUGCGAAAGCGUGGGGAGCAAACAGG